CCUACGGGUGGCAGCAGUAGGGAAUCUUGCACAAUGGACGAAAGUCUGAUGCAGCGACGCCGCGUGAGUGAAGAAGGGUUUCGGCUCGUAAAGCUCUGUCGGCAGUGAAGAAAGAUAGAGGUAGUAACUGGCCUGCAGUUGACGGUAAUUACUUAGAAAGUCCGGGCUAACUACGUGCAAGCAGCCGCGGUAAGACGUAGGUGGCAAGCGUUGUCCGGGUUUAUUGGGGGUAAAGGGAGUGCAGGCGGUACAAUAAGUCUGAUGUGAAAGCCCUGGGCUCAACCGGGGAAUUGCAUCAGAAACGGUUGAGCUUGAGUGCAGGAGAGGAGAGUGGAACUCCAAGGGUAGCGGUGGAAUGCGUAGAGAUAUGGAAGAACACCAGUGGCGAAGGCGGCUCACUGGUCUGCAACUGACGCUGAGGCUCGAAAGCAUGGGUAGCGAACAGGAUUAGAUACCCGAGUAGUC
rnacentral:rRNA from 1 species